UACGGAGGAUGCGAGCGUUAUCCGGAUUUAUUGGGUUUAAAGGGUGCGUAGGCGGGUUAUCAAGUCAGCGGUAAAAUCGUGGAGCUCAACUCCAUCCAGCCGUUGAAACUGAUGAUCUUGAGUGGGCGAGAAGUAUGCGGAAUGCGUGGUGUAGCGGUGAAAUGCAUAGAUAUCACGCAGAAUUCCGAUUGCGAAGGCAGCAUACCGGCGCCCGACUGACGCUGAAGCACGAAAGCGUGGGUAUCGAACAGG
rnacentral:rRNA from 1 species